rnacentral:lncRNA from 1 species
UGGCCCUGCUCCCGUGGCCUUGCUCCCCUGCUCCCGUGGCCCUGUUCUCCUGGCCCUGCUCCCGGCAGCCACACUGGGACCAUGGCAGCUCCACGCCGCGGGAAGCAGCCACACCUGCUUCUCCAUGCCGCUGCUCUCUGAAGGCAAUGCUGGGCUCCAGUGCCACUUCUUCCCCAAAAACCAGAGGAAAUUGCACUCUAAACCAUGUAGCUUCUCUACCCAAACUGGUUCUUUUUGUCAUCAAGCCCUUAUUCAUGCAAUUUCUAAAAUUGCAAAAUUAGGAUGGCUUGAUGUACUGAAAAAUCUUCAAAGAUAUUAUUGCUGAUGCAAAAAAAAAAGUAUUGGAGGUAAGAAACAAUUGUUUGCUUCUGCCUUUUUUUGUUGUUGUCUUUUUUUGUUUGGACCUCUUAAUUUAUAGUUAUUGGAAUGUUAUGUUGCUUGAUUUGAUACUGGGAUGGAAAAAGUGUGAAGUGCAUUGCUUGAGACAGAUUGUCUGUUGAGGAAGGACCAGGGUGGGUUUGCUGCCUAUGUGAGGUUGUGGGGUUUGAUGCCUCACAGAAUUCAUAGUGCUGUCUUGGCUUUUUCUCAGUUUUGUUUUUCAGAUCACUCCUUUAUAGAGUGGUUGUGAAACAACAGCCCUUGUUGUCAAGCCAUUCUGUUUAAUGCCUUCAUUUUUCGUCAGCUCCUAUAGAAACACAUUCCUGAUACAUGUCUAUGUGAAGGUUCAGCCUUUCUCAACUUCUGAUGAGCAAAAGCAAUGGGAAAUUUUAAGUUAUUUGGCAAUUUACUUGCAUGAUGAUCCAUUAUGUGUGUAUGUGCUGGUGAUCCUGGUAACUCAGCAAGGAAAUACAAAGUUAACAGUUUUUGUUUCUUGCCAGUAACAGGACAAAACAGAGGACAGUGGGAGGUCAGGCUCCUUGGUAAGUAGCCGGAUUUUUCAUUAGUUGAACUCUGGGUGAUCUUCAGAGUUGUAAAAAGGAGUGUGAUUGCAGCAAAUUAGCAGGGAAGUGUUGACAAGGGUGACUUGGUGUUUUGGACACUGGGGGAGCUGAGGCUGCAAAGUGCAGCUGUAAAACUACGCAGAGAUCUUCCCUGGUUUAAAUGGCAAGGCCUAAUUGAUUUUGAGGGACUUUGGUUUUAGAUGUUUUAACAAGGAGCAGAUUUAAUUGUUCUACAAAAGCUUUGGCAUAGCCAAAUGAAGACAGUUAAAUUUUAUUAAUUAAUUGCACAAUUCUGCAUUGUAUCUGAUUUUGAAACAUUCCAAGAGUCUGGUGAUGUCAAGCCCGGCGAUGAGAUUGUAUCCUCACAUGGAACAUUGAACAUCCCCUGCAUCACAUUUUAGACUCAAGUUCUCAGUGAUGGGAUGUAUCAUUCAGUUCAAAUCAGUGCUUUGUGAACUACUGUGGAGGGAAGAGAAUGAAUUUUUUUGAUAGAUAGCAUGUAUUUUUGAGAGUGCCCUCUGAUCUUUUUCAUUGAUGCACAGUUUAAUUUUUUCUAAUGGUUUUAAUUUCAUGUAGCUUGCCUUUCAAGUGCCAGAAUACUGAACCUCUGAGACCUCUGAGAAAAGUGUAGGAGUGAAUUUCUUGACUGCAAUUCCUUGUAGUCUCUUUUCAGAUGGGUUUUUGUUAUCCAACAAUUCUUAAAAUUUGUGAUGAGAGGUUUGUUUCAGAGAUAAUUAGGGAGUGUGGAGGUCUAGUUCAAUUAAUGUUGAUAGAAUUUGGCAUGAAAGCCUUCUAAACAGCUUAGGAAAUCUCAGCCUAACAAUUCCUGUUCAUUCCAGAAAUGUUGGAAAACAUUAAAUGUGAUCUGAUUUUAGUAAUGCUGGAA